CCUACGGGAGGCAGCAGUAGGGAAUCUUCCACAAUGGGCGAAAGCCUGAUGGAGCAACGCCGCGUGGGUGAAGAAGGUCUUCGGAUCGUAAAACCCUGUUGUUAGAGAAGAAAGUGCGUGAGAGUAACUGUUCACGUUUCGACGGUAUCUAACCAGAAAGCCACGGCUAACUACGUGCCAGCAGCCGCGGUAAUACGUAGGUGGCAAGCGUUAUCCGGAUUUAUUGGGCGUAAAGGGAACGCAGGCGGUCUUUUAAGUCUGAUGUGAAAGCCUUCGGCUUAACCGGAGUAGUGCAUUGGAAACUGGGAGACUGGAGUGCAGAAGAGGAGAGUGGAACUCCAUGUGUAGCGGUGAAAUGCGUAGAUAUAUGGAAGAACACAAGUGGCGAAAGCGGCUCUCUGGUCUGUAACUGACGCUGAGGUUCGAAAGCGUGGGUAGCAAACAGGAUUAGAUACCCUAGUAGUC
rnacentral:rRNA from 1 species